GCGGGUGUGGUGUACGGAACACAGCUGUUUUUAAUUACUGCUGCCGAGAUCUUAGCGCAGCAGAACGGGUUCGACUCCCGGCACCCGCA